AAAGAAUUGCGGAGCUUAAUAGAAACACGGAGAGGUUAAUAAGAUUGAUUUCACGGUGGCAGAAGAUUUCGGAACGGGAAAAAUCAAAAAGAAGGAAAAAGUGAUAUGCCAAUAUAUUGGGCGAUUGCUACAUCUUCGAAAUAUCCGGAUGUUUAUGUAAAGAAAAUUGAAGCGAUAGAUGAUGCGGAUGCUACUGAACAAGCAAAAAAGUGGCAUCGUGAAGAUAUUGGUCCUCGUUAUGAAUAUGUUGUGGCGAAAGAAAUUGAUAUGCCAAAGCCAUCUUGCUGAAAGAAUUAAGAAAGUCGUCCGUGCGGCGACAGAAAAAACCAUAAAGAGUAGAAUAGUAAAAUUAUAAAAAAUGGGCGGGUGGAAAACCGCUCGCCCAGAAUUUUCUUUUUGUCAGUUUUCUAACCAAUAACUAACUACCAACAAGUAACAAUACGUGUUGUGGGUUGUGGGUUGUCAGUUGUAGGUUAGUAUAGUAACAAUAGUGUAGAUACCCUAGUAGUCCACGCCCUAAACGAUGCAGACUCGCUAUCGGAAGUAUCGACCCUUUCGGUGGCCAAGCUUACGCGUUAAGUCUGCCGCCUGGGAAGUACGGCCGCAAGGCUAAAACUCAAAGGAAUAGACGGGAGUUCGCACAAGCGGUGGUUCAUGCGGUUCAAUUCGAUGACAACCGAGGAACCUCACCAGGGCUUGAAAUGCUGAAAAAAGUUCCGGGAAACCGGAAUGUACCACAAGGAUGUCAGCACAGGUGCUGCACGGUCCUCGUCAGUUCGUGGUGUAAACUGUUCCCUUAAGUGGGGUAACGAACGCAACCCUCAUCCUAUGUUAUAUGUGUCAUAGGAAACUGCCUCUUUAUAAGGGGAGGAAGGUGGGGAUGACGCGAGAUCAGCGUGGCCCUCUGAUGCCCUGGGCUACACGCAUGAAACAAUGGCGCCGACAAAGCGUAGCAAAGCCGUAAGGCGGAGCCAAUCGCACCAAACGGCGCCUCAGUUCAGAUUGGGGUCUGCAACUCGACCCCAUGAAGAAGGAAUCGCUAGUAAACGCCGAUCAGCUAUGCGGCGUUGAAUACGUUCUCGAACUUUGUACUCACCGCCGAGUAAUAAGUGCCCGGCAGCUUAGUUAACUAGCAGGUUAAAAUCCUGCCCCUCGUUCAAAAACGGGGCGUAGCCAAAAAAAUUUAGCA
rnacentral:rRNA from 1 species